ensembl:lncRNA
GGAAACUGUGAAGCGAAAGAACUAAACAGGAAGGUGAGCCCGUUUUUAGAGAGUCAAGUGCAAAAGCAGAAGCUGCAAGUGUUAAACUCCCCAGGCAGGGCAGGGCUGGUGGUCUGUUCCCUUCAUCCGCAGUCACGCUGAGUGACAGACGGUAAUGUAGACGCGGCUGAUUUCUGAUAUGAAUAUCCAGUUCUAUAAUGAAUUCAGAAUGUAUUGCUGCCACUGAGAAGUUACGUGUUGUCCUCAGAAGCAAAGAUGACUCUCCAGCAUCUGUAUGGCAUAUGUAUUUUCAGAGGGAGAAUGGAUCUGUGCCAGUUGUCUCUGGCCUGAAUUAAAGAAUCGAGAUGCUGCUGGGGCUUCCCAGGUGGCGCUAGUGGUAAAGAACCUGCCUGCCAAUGCAAGAAGGAGAUGCAGGUUCAAUCCCUGGGCCAGGAAGAUCCCUUGCAGGAGGGCACGGCAACCCACUCCAAUAUUCUUGCCUGGAGAAUCUCAUGGACAGAGGAGUCUGGUGGAUACAGUCCAUGGGGUUGCACUGAGUCGGACACGGCUGAAGUAACUUAACACAUGACUACAGAGCCCUUGAAAUGUGACCAGUCCAAACUGAGAUGUGCUUAGUGUGACAUGCCAACCAGAUUCCAAAGACUCAGUACCAGCAAAAGAAUGGAAUAGAACUCACGGCCAACUUUUUAUCUUUGUUAUAUGUUGAGAUGAUAAUAUUUUAGAUACAUUGGGUUAAUUAUAAUAUUCAAAGUAAUUUCACCUUUUUAACUUUUUUUUUCUUUUUUUUUUUUUACUUUUUUUUAAUGUAGUUACUAGAAAAAUUCUAGUUACUUUCCAUUUGGCUCGUGUUAUAUUUCUAUUGGACUGCACUGGUCUAGACAACUUCCCUUCUGUUUUCAGCUUCAGAACGUUAUAAAGACAAAUGACAUAACUUGUGUAGGGUUCUUUGAGUUUUCUUAAGGAAACAUAUUAUGUAACAACAAGAUAAAUUUUUGAGGAUGACAGUCAGCCAAAACAUGUACUGUUCUUUAGAGGCCAAAGAUAAUGUUACUGAAUUGCUCGUGGUUUUGUGUUGUUUUUCCAACAAUGCAGAUGAGUUUGCACAAAAGCUUCUGUAGUGUUUCCCCAUGCAUUCCACCCGCUCCCUGUUCUCCCUUAUAACCAAAACAGCAUGUUUUCUAAAUACCUGGCCCAGGUUAAGAAUGCAGUUCUCUAGCCAUGAAAUUUUUUCUCUGUGCAAAGCAUUCAGUCUUGUACAUGUUUGCACCUCAGAAUAUUUAACAUGAUAUUCUAAUUAUCUGGUCUACUCAAGCAAGCGGAUUCCAAAUGUCAGUGAUUAUAUCUGUAAUCAUAAUUAUAGGAUACUCUUGGCUCUUUUAUAUUUAAUUCUAAAUAUGGUCAAUUAGAAUGUGCUAUUUAUAGUGAAAAAAUCUGCACACAUAUCCCGAUCAAGAAAUUUGUUUUUCUUUGUGAAUUUCUAUCUAUGGAAAGUCUCACAGUGUUAUAAAUUAAAUCAUAUUUUGAUUUACAGCUAACAUAAUAUUAUGAUAAGAUGUUGGAAUUACUGGGGAUGAUGUAACUAUAUUACUCUGUCCUAGGCCUUGAACACCAGAAAGAAAACAGAAGAAUCAGACAGAGAACCUCCCUCAUCUUCUCUGACCACUCACACCUGGUCCCCCCUCCUUUUCCCUGUUCUAUUAGGUAGAUGACAGGCCUUCCCUCUCAAUGUUCAACCUC